rnacentral:rRNA from 1 species
UACGUAGGCAGCAAGCGUUGUUCGGAAUUACUGGGCGUAAAGCGCGUGUAGGCGGCCCUGCAAGUCGGAUGUGAAAUCCCACGGCUCAACCGUGGAAGUGCAUUCGAAACUGCAGGGCUAGAGUCCUGGAGAGGAAGGUGGAAUGCUUGGUGUAGAGGUGAAAUUCGUAGAUAUCAAGCGGAACACCGGUGGCGAAGGCGGCCUUCUGGACAGUGACUGACGCUGAGACGCGAAAGCGUGGGGAGCAAACAGG